rnacentral:tRNA from 1 species
GUAAAAGCUUUAAAAGUGUGACUUUGAAGCAGUCAAGAUAUAUCUGUAUUUUUUAAG